rnacentral:rRNA from 1 species
UACAGAGGGUGCAAGCGUUGUUCGGAUUUACUGGGCGUAAAGCGUACGCAGACGGACCGUCAAGUCGGGAGUGAAAGCCUUGGGCUCAACCCAGGAACGGCUUUCGAUACUAGCGGUCUUGAGUUUGGGAGAGGGAAGCGGAAUUCCUGGUGUAGAGGUGAAAUUCGUAGAUAUCAGGAGGAACACCGGCGGCGAAGGCGGCUUCUCGGCCCAAUAUGACGUCAGGACGAAAGCGUGGGUAGCAAACAGG